GAUCAAUCGUUUACACAAUCGCAGGGAAACCGCGAUAAGGUAACCCCGAGUGCCAGCAUCAAAGAAAUAGGCUGUCCAGAUGAUUAAAAAUCAUUUGUUAGCAAGGGCCGGGCAAGACCGGUGCCAGCCGCCGCGGUAGCACCGGCGGCCCGAGUGGUAGCCGUUUUAAUUGGGUCUAAAGGGUCCGUAGCCGGCUUGAUAAGUCCUUUGGGAAAUCUGGCAGCUUAACUGUCAGGUUCUAAGGGUUACUGUCAGGCUUGGAACCGGAAAAGGAAAGGGGUACUCCGGGGGUAGGGGGAAAAUUUUUUAUUUCCUGGGGGACCAUCUGUGGGGAAGGGGCUUUACCAAAACGGGUCCGACGGGGAGGGACGAAAGCUAGGGGAGCAAACCGGAUUAGAUACCCGGGUAGCCCUAGUUGUAAAGGAUGCUCGCUAGGUGUCAGACACGGGGCGACCGUGUUUGGUGCCGCAGGGAAGCCGUUAAGCGAGCCACUUGGGAGGUACGGUCGCAAGGCUGAAACUUAAGGGAAUUGGCGGGGGAAAGGGCGAAUUCGUUUAAACCUGCGGGAUUAGUCCCUUUAGUGAGGGUUAUUUCUGAGCUUGGCGUAUUCAGGGCAUAGCUGUUUCUGAA
rnacentral:rRNA from 1 species